UUAUUAUUAGAUCCGAUUGAAGGGAUAAAUGAUUCAGACUUACAUAGAGGUUAUAUCUCAUGGGCUAACGUUGAUCGGGUUUAUAUUCCGAUCAAUUAUGAAUCUCAACACUGGGCAUGCGGUGAAUUAGACUUAAAUGCUUGGACUUUGACGGUGUAUGAUUCAUCGAAAGCAUUUUUUGACUCUACAGAGAAGUUCUUAGAGGCUAUGAAACGGUAUUCUUAUCUUCCGUCUAUUAUUAAUGCGACCAACUAUUGGGAGUCACGGGGUCUUGAGCCAAAGUUAGACCCAUUGACCAUCACGAGAUGCAUAGAUGUGCCACAACAAGGCACUGCCUCCGGUGACUGCGGGAUAUUCUCAUUAUUUAUUUUAGAGUAUCUCGCCACUGGCAGGAGAUUAACUUUUAGGGCAUCGAAUGCUUCUGUAAUGCGUUGUAUGGUUGCAUCCAGAAUAUGGAGGCAUGGCGGGAAUACAAUUCUUUGAUUUUUUGUAUUAUAUAUAAACAUAUGAAUAUGAUUAAUAUGUUUUAGUCA